rnacentral:rRNA from 1 species
ACUCCUGCGGGAGGCAGCAGUGGGGAAUAUUGGACAAUGGGCGCAAGCCUGAUCCAGCCAUGCCGCGUGAGUGAUGAAGGCCCUAGGGUUGUAAAGCUCUUUCACCGGUGAAGAUAAUGACGGUAACCGGAGAAGAAGCCCCGGCUAACUUCGUGCCAGCAGCCGCGGUAAUACGAAGGGGGCUAGCGUUGUUCGGAUUUACUGGGCGUAAAGCGCACGUAGGCGGACUAUUAAGUCAGGGGUGAAAUCCCGGGGCUCAACCCCGGAACUGCCUUUGAUACUGGUAGUCUUGAGUUCGAGAGAGGUGAGUGGAAUUCCGAGUGUAGAGGUGAAAUUCGUAGAUAUCCGGAGGAACACCGGUGGCGAAGGCGGCUCACUGGCUCGAUACUGACGCUGAGGUGCGAAAGCGUGGGGAGCAAACAGGAUUAGAUACCCUUGUAGUCCCAU